UACGGGGGGUGCAAGCGUUAAUCGGAAUUACUGGGCGUAAAGGGUGCGUAGGUGGUUUGGUAAGUUAGCUGUGAAAUUCCUGGGCUCAACCUAGGGUGGUCAGCUAAGACUGCUAGACUCGAGUAUGGGAGAGGGUAGUGGAAUUUCCGGUGUAGCGGUGAAAUGCGUAGAGAUCGGAAGGAACACCAGUGGCGAAGGCGGCUACCUGGCCUAAUACUGACACUGAGGCACGAAAGCGUGGGGAGCAAACAGG
rnacentral:rRNA from 1 species